CUGGGUAAGGAGCCUGCCAUCCUAGUCCUGGCCCCAGAAGCUCAUUACUGAUGCUCCCGCCUCCAGCCGGGUCCCUGUGGACAGGGGAGUGCAGGAGGCUCUAAUGGCUCUGAGCAGCUCUUGGUGGAGGCUCGAUGGAGGCGGGAGCAGGAGGGGCUGUGGUUUCUGCCUCCACUGGAGCCAGAACUGCCUCUGCCUAGGGCUGGCCGGGAAGAUGCUGGAUGGGCCCCUGCUCCAGCUGCUCCUUACCGUGGCUCUGUUCCCCAGCAUCCUUGGGACAGUCUUGGUGCAGAACCUGCACCUCUGCGAGGGCUACGUGGGCCCUGAUGGCCGCUCCCACCCCGGCUUCUACUGCCCGCGGCUGACGGACCCCCCCGGCCACCGCUACUGCUGCCAGCCCAGCCUGGAGGCUCUCAAGUCCUGCUGCUCCCAGCUGGCCCUGGAAGCCCUCACCGGAGUGAACCUCUCAAGCCUGGCUAGCCCCGGUCUACUGCGGAACCCGCUGGCCCUGCCUUUCGUGGCGCUCUAUGGGCUCCUUGUCCUUCUGCUUAUGGCCAUCGACCUCUGCCACUUCUACUGGACUCACCGGAGCCGCCUCAGCCGCCUGCUGC
rnacentral:lncRNA from 1 species